AACCGUCAACGGAUCAGACCGUU
rnacentral:siRNA from 1 species